rnacentral:misc_RNA from 1 species
UACAGAGUGCGCGAGCGUAAAUCGGCUUUACUGGGCGUAAGGCGUGCGUAGGCGGCUUUUUAAGUCGGAUGUGAAAUCCCCGAGCUUAACUUGGGAAUUGCAUUCGUUACUGGGAAGCUAGAGAAUGGGAGAGGAUGUUAGAAUUCCAGGUGUAGCGGUGAAAUGCGUAGAGAUCUGGAGGAAUACCGAUGGCGAAGGCAGCCAUCUGGCCUAAUACUGACGCUGAGGUGCGAAAGCAUGGGGAGCAAACAGG